rnacentral:rRNA from 1 species
GUGUCAGCCGCCGCGGUAAUACGUAGGGUCCGAGCGUUGUCCGGAAUUAUUGGGCGUAAAGGGCUCGUAGGCGGUUUGUCACGUCGGGAGUGAAAACUCAGGGCUCAACCCUGAGCGUGCUUCCGAUACGGGCAGACUAGAGGUAUGCAGGGGAGAACGGAAUUCCUGGUGUAGCGGUGGAAUGCGCAGAUAUCAGGAGGAACACCGGUGGCGAAGGCGGUUCUCUGGGCAUUACCUGACGCUGAGGAGCGAAAGCAUGGGGAGCGAACAGGAUUAGAAACCCCUGUAGUCC